rnacentral:rRNA from 1 species
AUUACCGCGGCUGCUGGCACGAAGUUAGCCGGAGCUUCUUCUACGGGUACCGUCAUUAUCGUCCCCGUCGAAAGAGUUUUACAACCCGAAGGCCUUCAUCACUCACGCGGCAUGGCUGGAUCAGGGUUUCCCCCAUUGUCCAAAAUUCCAAACUGCUGCCUCCCGUAGG